rnacentral:rRNA from 1 species
ACGAACGCUGGCGGCAGGCUUAACACAUGCAAGUCGAGCGCGCUCUUCGGAGCGAGCGGCAGACGGGUGAGUAACGCGUGGGAACGUACCUUUCGGUUCGGAACAACCCAGGGAAACUUGGGCUAAUACCGGAUACGCCCUCAGGGGGAAAGAUUUAUCGCCGAAAGAUCGGCCCGCGUCGGAUUAGCUAGUUGGCGGGGUAAAGGCCCACCAAGGCGACGAUCCGUAGCUGUUCUGAGAGGAAGAUCAGCCACAUUGGGACUGAGACACGGCCCAAACUCCUACGGGAGGCAGCAGUGGGGAAUAUUGGACAAUGGGCGAAAGCCUGAUCCAGCCAUGCCGCGUGGAUGAAGAAGGCCCUAGGGUUGUAAAGUCCUUUCGGUGGUGAAGAUAAUGACGGUAACCACACAAGAAGCCCCGGCUAAUUUCGU